rnacentral:lncRNA from 1 species
CUUUCUCUCUCCUCAGAUUUAGGAGCUCCUAGAAGACUCCAUAUUUUAGGAGCUGGAUAGAGAGCGUGCUUAGAGUUGCAUUUUUAAGAUUCCUCCCUAAAAUUUGUCUAAUGAGGUAGUUUAAGGAGCCCAUUAUGGAUGAUCUUAUAAGGGAGCAAUCUUAUGACGUGAUUAUUUAAUGGGUAAUACUAGGAUCAAAAUUGAAUCUCAAAGGAAUAUAUAUAAUUCAUUAAACUAUUUUCCAGCAUGUAUUCAUUAAAUAAAAAUGAUUAACUUCUAAAAUAAUUGAAUUAAGAAUGAAAUCGAAAAGUCAACUAAUGAAAAAACCAAUUCAAGAGCCCUCUCCUCCAUCCUCUACUCCGAUGUAUGAUCCCUUCUACCUGCUAAAAUAUGAAUAUGGUUUGAAUGUAUUAGUUUUUUUUAUUUAUAUUCUUCUCCAUAAUGAGAUAUAUAUAAGAGUUUACAUGUGGGUUUUAUAAGAAAUUAGAUGCAGUAAAGAAUUAGGAAAGUAUCUCCUAAU